rnacentral:rRNA from 1 species
CAGCCGUAAACGAUGUGCGUUAGGUGUAUCGACGACCACGAGUCGUCGAGGUGCCGAAGGGAAACCGUGAAACGUACCGCCUGGGAAGUACGGUCGCAAGGCUGAAACUUAAAGGAUUGGCGGGGGAGCACCACAACAGGUGGAGCCUGCGGUUUAAUUGGACUCAACGCCGGAAAUCUCACCGGAUAGGACAGCAGAAUGAUUGCCGGGCUGAAGACUCUGCAUGACUAGCUGAGAGGAGGUGCAUGGCGUCAGUGACU